UAAAAUAAAAGUAUUAGUCACGACUUUCUAUUUCUGUUGCGUUGUUGUUACGUCUUUUUGCAUUUCAGGUGACGACAUGGAAAAUUGUAUGAGAAGAAUAGAAAAUAGUUUGAUAGCGGUAAAACAAUUAUUGAUUGGCACAAAGAGGAUGUGUGAAUUAAGAAAAUAUUUUUUGUUUUACAAGAACAACUUGCAUUUUUCAUUGGUUCUUCUUUUUUGCAGUUGAGUUCCGCGCAUACGAAUAGAACGUUUAUUUUCUAUUUCGACCACGCACACAAAGGUGGGGUUAUAUUCAAGUGCCAUCUAACCAUAGGCAAACCAAUUAAGUUCCGUUAUUCGUACUUAACUUCUCAAUGCAUUUAACAUUAGUUUAACACAUAUAUUUUUAAGCCACUCGUUAGGUGAGAAAAAAUUGCCAAAUUUGUGACACCGUGUUUGGGUUAUUUUGCUGGCAGUAGAGGGUUAACUUGCAAAAAUUUGCCAGCAUGAAAUACUAUUCUAUGAGGUAAUUUCUGCGAAUAAACAACAAAUUAUCAGUUGUUCAUGAAACUUGCAUAUUGUUACGGGUUUUGCGUUCACGUACUUUUCUGGAUGUUUUUCUCUGUAAGAGCGAAUUCUCGGAAAUUAUUUUGCUGGUAACUUACUCGACAAUUUUUACAUGAACAGACCUAAAAACUUUACAACAGCUGACGGUUUGUUUAUAGUUGCGUUCAAAGCCGUCAUCAUAGUUGGAAAUCCAUCCCCAUUUCUUUCACGAAUACACUUUUUGUAAGCUGGGAUGAGUUAUGGAUAAACCAUUCAUUAUAAGCCUUUAUAAAUAAUUUUUAGUUCUAAAACAAAAACACCAAAAAUCAGAGUUUAAAACCUUGUGCACAAUUAAAGACAGUUCUGCCAAAUUUAAAUAAAAUAUUGCACUUUUUAAUUACACUCUUUAGAAAAAUAUUGGGUAUGCAGUUUUUUUUAGCCUAUUCAAUUUUAGUACAAUAAAGUGCAAGUCUGAGGUAUGUAGCUAGGACCUACCAAUGAAUUUUCUCCAUA